AGGGAGAAAAAAAAAAGUUGUCACAAAAGGUGAAAAAAUGCGUUUUUGGCGGGAAAAUGCAGCAUUUUUCGGAUAAUACUUUUCGCGACAAUUAUUUGAUGUUAUAGAAGAUAAUGAAAUAAUUUUUUAAAUUUUAAUAAUUUAAAUUUAAAUUUAAAUAAAAAUUAAGGUUAAUUAAGAUUUUUCUCCAAAUCAACCUUUUUUCUCAAAUCAAAAUUUUUUCCCAAAUCAAAAACCCUCACUCAUGCGAAGAAGCCAUCUCCAAAUGCAAAGAAGGCCAUAUUCGGACGAUGUCCGAUCCCAUCACCGCCACUGCCCCUCGUGUCCAAAUCUCCAUGAUUGCAUCUCCAACUUCCGCUCCGAUGAUACAAUGGACUCCGAAUUGUCUCGCCAUCACUCUGCUUGCAAAAAUUGAGGAUUCUUUCAGUUGGUGAAGCACGGAGUGAGCGAUUCGUUGAUGGAGAGAAUGAGCGAUUCGUUGAUGGAGAGAAUGAAGAUGGAAACGCAGAAAUUGUUCCAACUUCUGAUUGAAGAGAAGAAAAAGCUACGGCAGAGAGAAGGUGAUGUGGAGGGGUUUGGACACGCUUUCAUUACAAGUGAAGAACAUAAAUUGGAUUGGUGUGAUAUUUUCUUCAUUGCUACAUCGCCUUUACAUUUCAGGAAUCCCCGAUUGUUUCAAAAUCUCCCUCUCUCUUUGAGGUUCGAUCAUUCCUUACAUUACAAAACUUUUUAAAUGAUUCUCAAACUCAUAAAAUCCUAGAAAUUAAACUCUGAACUCAUAAAUAUAAAACGAUUCUAAUUUCUUAUUCAUGGUACUUCACCGUCUAGGAAUGGAAUAAGAAAAAGAGAAUAUGAUUUUCUAUUUCAAGAAUUUGAUAUAGUUCUGUCAUACUAGCGUUUUUGGCUUGGGGGUAUACUUUCAACUGUUACCCACAUUCCCAUUGGUCUUAAAUCAGUCUACCCACAAUGUCUAAGGAUCAGAUAUGCAAUUUUGAAUUUUCUUAAAUGUCGUUCAACAAGGUUUGGAGUCCUUUUGGGUAAGAGUCGGUAAGUAUAUUUGUUUUAUUUUCCAUUUAGAAUUGGAGUUAAAUGUUUGAAUGAUAUGGUGAACCGUUUAAGCCCUUUAGUUGUUAUGUUUGGGUGAA